rnacentral:ncRNA from 2 species
UAACCCUAUCAAGUCGAUGGCCCCACGCGAGUGGGUUAAUAGGGAACACUGUCACGCUCCGGCCGGGUCAUGAACCCGGGAGCGAAGUCAGAGGCUGCUCCCGCAACUGUAGGCGGUAUGCCGUCGGUUCAUUCACCCCGAAAAGGUGAGUCACUGUUUCCGGAAAGGAAAUGGGAAGGCAGGAACCGACUGGCCAUGAUCCGUGAGCCAGGAGACCUGCCAUCGUCAUAUACCAAGC